AGACAAAUAAGAGAGAGAGAGAGAGAGAGAGAGAGAGAGAGAGAGAGGAACUGAAGUACCUUGAGUUUCAAUAUUUAUGAUGGGGAGAUUCUGAUAUGUUACUGUCUUCGCUCUCUCUCUCUCUCUCUCUCUCUCUCUCACAAACAAAUAUUCAAC
rnacentral:miRNA from 1 species